AAUAAGUGUUGUUUUGCACUAUUCAUAUCUAACGUUUGACCGUUUAUCUUAUUUAAAUUUUUUUAUGAUUAGUUCUUUUAUUGUUAUUAGAUGAUAAAAUAUAAAUAAUAUUUUAUAUGUCACUAAUUAAUUUUAGUUUUUUCAUAAAUUUUUAAAUAAGACUGACGGUCAAACGUUGAACACGAAUUCGUAGGGCUACACUUAUU
rfam:Oryza meridionalis cultivar OR44 (W2112) chromosome 11, whole genome shotgun sequence.